ensembl:lncRNA
GAGGCACUGGUUCCCUUCUUCGUGCUUCGGGAGUGCAGCACGUGUCUUGCUAAUGGCACCGAUCAUGCCCGGUCCCUGUACCAAAAUCACCGGACACAAGCUCUCAUACACAUACCCAGAGACUAAUUUAAGGGCUGGAGUCUGAGACAUCCAGAUAUAAUUCCUUCCAAACAUGUCUUUGUUGAGCUGGCCUUCAAGGAAAUAUCGAAUGAUGAAUAGCUGUUUGCUGACGGGAGGAAUUUGGAAAGGACAAGUUAUUUAAAGCUCCAGGAAGAACAACCAGGUUGGGAAUAUGUCUUGUAUUAUAUGGGGAGGUUUGAAAAAGUCAUUUUGCAAAAUACUAAUUAUUAAAAUAGGUCCAGCAUGGACCUGAUCUACUUUCUUUUUUUUUUAUGUUUAUUUAUUUAUUUUGAGAGACAGAGUGGGGGGCGGGCAGGGGCAGAGGAAGAGGGAGAGACAGAAUCCCAAGAAUGCUCUGCACUGUCAGCGAGGAGCCUGAUGAGGGGCUGGAUUCCACAGACCUUGAGAACGUGACCUGAGCUGAAAUCAAGAGUCAGACGCUCAACUGACUGAGCCACCCAAGCACCCCCUGCUCUAUUUUAUUUCUAUAUUUUUAUCCGAGUCAAAGAAGAAAGGAGACAGAGAAACCAAUUCAGGAGAGUGAAAAGAAGAGAGCAGAAGGGUGGAUGCAGUCAGGAACUCAGCGUUCGCCUUGCAUCUCUGCCACAAAUUUGCCGUGUGUGAUCCAGGAAAAAUCACCCAGCCUCUCAGAACUUUGGCUCCUACAUCUGCGAAAAGAGGUGACUAGAUAACCCUGAAGGUCUUCUCCAGCUUUCAAAUAUUAGCCCAUAGUAGGUGUUCCCUCAGUAAUCAUGAAGCAGCGAGAGAGUGAGCGGUUGCGGACCAAUGUCACACAUUUGGAUGAAAGCCGGAAAUGGAGAGGGAUUGCAUGGCUGAAUCAGGUCCACUUCAGAUUUGUCAUUUGUCCUUGGUGUAUCAUUCUGUGGACGCUAAGAUAUGACAGGAUCCCUCAGAAAACUGCCGUGCCUCCUCAUCUCUGUCGUCCCAGGAUAUUGAGAAACCAAGCUGAAUAUAAAAUCCUUAAAAUCCUCCCAGCAACCUGUUGAAGUAGGUACUAUUACUGAUUCAUUUUGCCACACAAAGACAUCAGGUCUCAGAGAUGCUAUGUAACUUGUCUAGAGUCACACAGCUAGUGAGUCAUAGAACAGAGAUUUGGACCUACAGACUUCCACUCAACGUCUGUGCCCUUUCCACUCCUCUGUUCUGUAAGCCUCUCCACAACCUCCUUUAAUCUUCCGAACAACUCUGUGAAAUGGGCAGGGAAGGCAUCAUCAUGGCUUCUCUACAGAUGAGGAAACCGAGGCUUGAACGAGGACAGUCCCUUCCCCAGCCUAUGUGACUAGACAUUGGUGGAGCUGAUGAGAGAGUUCCCAGCUUUGGAUUCUGGAUGCGAGCCUCUGCACAGCCACAGGCUGCCUGCCCCCAGUUGGUGACCGGCCGGUGUCUCACCUGCUGGAGGGGACAACCUUAAUAAAGGAGAGGGUCCCCGGGCUGUUGCA